ensembl:ncRNA asRNA:CR43466 antisense RNA:CR43466
CGACACGGAAGCCCCACUACAACCAUAAACACACACAGACACACACGAGCAGGAGUGAAAUACGCUGCGUUUAGAUUCCAUAUGUUUGGAACGGCCCCAACGCAGCGAAAUCGGCACGGAACCACUCCACUUUACAUAAUGCGCAGCCACGGCGAUUUAUUAUCUCGGAAAAUAAGUCUUUUUAGACUUACGUUGGGAACAAGUGCUCGAGCAAACGGGACAAACAAUUGAAAUAACUGAGCAGUGUGACCGUGCUACAAACGAUAAGAAUUCCUUCGGACCUGGCAGAAAAUGGCGUUAUAUACCAUUUCAGUUUGUAGAAAUACCAAUCAUUGGAAAUGGCCAUAGGAUGCAUCAUCUAUAAAAACGGUUGCAUUGAGCCUUCUCAAUCGGUGCAAGCACCUUACAGCGAUCUUUAAGCUUUCCUCUUUUAUCUUUCCAAAGGACACGUCCAGAAGGGAAAUCCCCGGGAAGUUAGGUCCAGAUACGUGUUGAUUAAAAAGAAGAAGACGCGGGAUUUUGGUUAGUUUAGUUUAUUCUGUAUGCAUAUUGUAUAAUUUGUGUGUUUUACGGUUAUCAUACAUGAAUAAAUAUAAAUUAAAUUAUGCUCUUC